AUACGUUAUGUUGGUACUCGGUUGAGUAAGGUACCGGGUGACUGUUGCGGCCCAUCGGUUUGGGUCGUGACAGAUUACCAGGAUGGCAUGGGAGCACACGUAACCAUACAUCCUGGGUGAGCAAACAUACACACAUCUCCUUGCUCAAAUCAUGUUGGAGGAGAGCACUAGUGCACAGUUUCAAGCUAACAUUUGUUUCCUUUUCUACAGGUUUUCCCAGUGAUCAAUUAUUAUGUCCACUGACUCCUUUUCAGGGUGUGGUGUUACCCACCUAGAUUUUUAUUCAAUCCACUGAGAAUCUAUCAGUGGAUAGAGGGAGAUCCUUGGCCUACUGACCAUCUGAAUUGGUGCUUAUGCACUGUGAAAUCCAAAGUGCAAACCAACCGUCCUUAACACACAAACAUAAUUGCCCACACCUUAAAACACACCUACCACCACCAACGUAUAGACAUAACAACUACAUUAAGUUAGUUGAACACCAUCUUCCUUCUCAAAUCCAAACACCAACCCAGUACCCUCCUAAACUGACCAACAGGCACACCAGUACAGAACAUCACACUACACUCACACACACAAUCCUUCAGGUACAACUUUCCAUGAUAUGCUCAAUCCUUUUAUCUAUACUCAGUAUGUGGUAUUAGCAUUUAUAAUGCUCAUUCUACUAAGAACCUAUCAAAGGCAUACAACAUAUCACUCUUUGAUGACCACUCAUGAUCGAUUGAACAUAACACACCCCGGUUGGGACAAAUCUAUGGUAGCAUACCUAGCUGUCUCAAUUGGUUCUAUUUACCUUCGUCAUACAGGGUCACAUUCACACCCUUUCAUGGUUCACAUAAGAUAAGAAGUGCUCAUACACUACAUGAAGCAUUCUGCCUCUCUAGCUAACAACAUCUCAUACACUUUCCAUCAACCACCAACAUCCCACCACAUUCUCCAUUGGACUUCCAAAUAUGCAACAGCCAUACAUAAACAUCAAUUACAUCUUAGAAGCUGGUAGAUAGUGUGGACACCACACCCCAUCUACUCUGUAGAGGGGGUCUUGUUUUUCACUAACAUAUUUGCUAAUUUUGUAGGUACCAUGAACAUGUCUAACUCAUUGAGAUGUUCUCAGUGUGUUCUAUUAGCAUUUCUAAUGUUAAUUCCACUAAGAGCAUCUCAAAGGGUGCAGGCAGACUACCCAUUGUUAGUUAUACACACAUGCUCCCCUCAAACAAGCAACCAACAGGACACAUCUAGGGGACCAAACCUAGUUGUCCAGGUUAUUAUAGUUGCUCAAUAUAAAGGGCACAUGAGAUCAAAUCAUCAGACAUAGAUAUGAUGUUAGACAAGGACCAUCAUGGAUAAACCUAGGGGCUCAAACCAAGCAGUCUAGUAUCCUUCAAUUACCAGCAACCCCCAGGUGUAGAAUCUUGCAUUCAGAAAAUGCAUAAACUCCUACAUCUGCUUCCACCUGCCACCAAUUCAACAUGAAAGCCCCAAUUUUUUUUAUGAUAACAACAGGCUCUCAAAACUCUUUGUAAUGUAGACAACUGCUAUGGUCAAUCACAGGAAACAACAAAGAAUAGGAGACUUUUUUUGGAAUUAUUUGAUGUUGUAGAACGUACAUCAACAGUCAAGUUUCCCAUGCUCCAUCUCUUCUGUCAUUCAUAACAUACACAGAUAGUUUACUUUGGUAACUUUACUUA